GGUUAAGCGACUAAGCGUACACGGUGGAUGCCCUGGCAGUCAGAGGCGAUGAAGGACGUGCUAAUCUGCGAUAAGCGUCGGUAAGGUGAUAUGAACCGUUAUAACCGGCGAUUUCCGAAUGGGAAACCCAGUGUGUUUCGACACACUAUCAUUAACUGAAUCCAUAGGUUAAUGAGGCGAACCGGGGAACUGAAACAUCUAAGUACCCCGAGGAAAAGAAAUCAACCGAGAUUCCCCAGUAGCGGCGAGCGAACGGGGAGGAGCCCAGAGCCUGAAUCAGUGUGUGUGUUAGUGGAAGCGUCUGGAAAGGCGCGCGAUACAGGGUGACAGCCCCGUACACAAAAAUGCACAUACUGUGAGCUCGAUGAGUAGGGCGGGACACGUGGUAUCCUGUCUGAAUAUGGGGGACCAUCCUCCAAGGCUAAAUACUCCUGACUGACCGAUAGUGAACCAGUACCGUGAGGGAAAGGCGAAAAGAACCCCGGCGAGGGAGUGAAAAAGAACCUGAAACCGUGUACGUACAAGCAGUGGGAGCCUCUUUAUGGGGUGACUGCGUACCUUUUGUAUAAUGGGUCAGCGACUUAUAUUCUGUAGCAAGGUUAACCGAAUAGGGGAGCCGAAGGAAACCGAGUCUUAACUGGGCGUUAAGUUGCAGGGUAUAGACCCGAAACCCGGUGAUCUAGCCAUGGGCAGGUUGAAGGUUGGGUAACACUAACUGGAGGACCGAACCGACUAAUGUUGAAAAAUUAGCGGAUGACUUGUGGCUGGGGGUGAAAGGCCAAUCAAACCGGGAGAUAGCUGGUUCUCCCGAAAGCUAUUUAGGUAGCGCCUCGUGAAUUCAUCUCCGGGGUAGAGCACUGUUUCGGCAAGGGGUCAUCCCGACUUACCAACCCGAUGCAAACUGCGAAUACCGGAGAAUGUUAUCACGGGAGACACACGGCAGGUGCUAACGUCCGUCGUGAAGAGGGAAACAACCCAGACCGCCAGCUAAGGUCCCAAAGUCAUGGUUAAGUGGGAAACGAUGUGGGAAGGCCCAGACAGCCAGGAUGUUGGCUUAGAAGCAGCCAUCAUUUAAAGAAAGCGUAAUAGCUCACUGGUCGAGUCGGCCUGCGCGGAAGAUGUAACGGGGCUAAACCAUGCACCGAAGCUGCGGCAGCGACACUAUGUGUUGUUGGGUAGGGAGCGUUCUGUAAGCCUGCGAAGGUGUACUGUGAGGUAUGCUGGAGGUAUCAGAAGUGCGAAUGCUGACAUAAGUAACGAUAAAGCGGGUGAAAAGCCCGCUCGCCGGAAGACCAAGGGUUCCUGUCCAACGUUAAUCGGGGCAGGGUGAGUCGACCCCUAAGGCGAGGCCGAAAGGCGUAGUCGAUGGGAAACAGGUUAAUAUUCCUGUACUUGGUGUUACUGCGAAGGGGGACGGAGAAGGCUAUGUUGGCCGGGCGACGGUUGUCCCGGUUUAAGCGUGUAGGCUGGUUUUCCAGGCAAAUCCGGAAAAUCAAGGCUGAGGCGUGAUGACGAGGCACUACGGUGCUGAAGCAACAAAUGCCCUGCUUCCAGGAAAAGCCUCUAAGCAUCAGGUAACAUCAAAUCGUACCCCAAACCGACACAGGUGGUCAGGUAGAGAAUACCAAGGCGCUUGAGAGAACUCGGGUGAAGGAACUAGGCAAAAUGGUGCCGUAACUUCGGGAGAAGGCACGCUGAUACGUAGGUGAAGUCCCUUGCGGAUGGAGCUGAAAUCAGUCGAAGAUACCAGCUGGCUGCAACUGUUUAUUAAAAACACAGCACUGUGCAAACACGAAAGUGGACGUAUACGGUGUGACGCCUGCCCGGUGCCGGAAGGUUAAUUGAUGGGGUUAGCGGUAACGCGAAGCUCUUGAUCGAAGCCCCGGUAAACGGCGGCCGUAACUAUAACGGUCCUAAGGUAGCGAAAUUCCUUGUCGGGUAAGUUCCGACCUGCACGAAUGGCGUAAUGAUGGCCGGGCUGUCUCCACCCGAGACUCAGUGAAAUUGAACUCGCUGUGAAGAUGCAGUGUACCCGCGGCAAGACGGAAAGACCCCGUGAACCUUUACUAUAGCUUGACACUGAACAUUGAGCCUUGAUGUGUAGGAUAGGUGGGAGGCUUUGAAGUGUGGACGCCAGUCUGCAUGGAGCCGACCUUGAAAUACCACCCUUUAAUGUUUGAUGUUCUAACGUUGGCCCCUGAUCGGGGUUGCGGACAGUGUCUGGUGGGUAGUUUGACUGGGGCGGUCUCCUCCUAAAGAGUAACGGAGGAGCACGAAGGUUGGCUAAUCCUGGUCGGACAUCAGGAGGUUAGUGCAAUGGCAUAAGCCAGCUUGACUGCGAGCGUGACGGCGCGAGCAGGUGCGAAAGCAGGUCAUAGUGAUCCGGUGGUUCUGAAUGGAAGGGCCAUCGCUCAACGGAUAAAAGGUACUCCGGGGAUAACAGGCUGAUACCGCCCAAGAGUUCAUAUCGACGGCGGUGUUUGGCACCUCGAUGUCGGCUCAUCACAUCCUGGGGCUGAAGUAGGUCCCAAGGGUAUGGCUGUUCGCCAUUUAAAGUGGUACGCGAGCUGGGUUUAGAACGUCGUGAGACAGUUCGGUCCCUAUCUGCCGUGGGCGCUGGAGAACUGAGGGGCUGCUCCUAGUACGAGAGGACCGGAGUGGACGCAUCACUGGUGUUCGGGUUGUCAUGCCAAUGGCACUGCCCGGUAGCUAAAUGCGGAAGAGAUAAGUGCUGAAAGCAUCUAAGCACGAAACUUGCCCCGAGAUGAGUUCUCCUGACUCCUUGAGAGUCCUGAAGGAACGUUGAAGACGACGACGUUGAUAGGCCGGGUGUGUAAGCGCAGCGAUGCGUUGAGCUAACCGGUACUAAUGAACCGUGAGGCUUAACCUU
rnacentral:rRNA from 1 species